UAAGAGUAAGGCGUACACGGUGGAUGCCCUGGCAGUCAGAGGCGAUGAAGGACGUGCUAAUCUGCGAUAAGCGUCGGUAAGGUGAUAUGAACCGUUAUAACCGGCGAUUUCCGAAUGGGGAAACCCAGUGUGUUUCGACACACUAUCAUUAACUGAAUCCAUAGGUUAAUGAGGCGAACCGGGGGAACUGAAACAUCUAAGUACCCCGAGGAAAAGAAAUCAACCGAGAUUCCCCCAGUAGCGGCGAGCGAACGGGGAGCAGCCCAGAGCCUGAAUCAGUAUGUGUGUUAGUGGAAGCGUCUGGAAAGGCGCGCGAUACAGGGUGACAGCCCCGUACACAAAAAUGCACAUGCUGUGAGCUCGAUGAGUAGGGCGGGACACGUGGUAUCCUGUCUGAAUAUGGGGGGACCAUCCUCCAAGGCUAAAUACUCCUGACUGACCGAUAGUGAACCAGUACCGUGAGGGAAAGGCGAAAAGAACCCCGGCGAGGGGAGUGAAAAAGAACCUGAAACCGUGUACGUACAAGCAGUGGGAGCUCGCUUAGGCGUGUGACUGCGUACCUUUUGUAUAAUGGGUCAGCGACUUAUAUUCUGUAGCAAGGUUAACCGAAUAGGGGAGCCGAAGGGAAACCGAGUCUUAACUGGGCGUUAAGUUGCAGGGUAUAGACCCGAAACCCGGUGAUCUAGCCAUGGGCAGGUUGAAGGUUGGGUAACACUAACUGGAGGACCGAACCGACUAAUGUUGAAAAAUUAGCGGAUGACUUGUGGCUGGGGGUGAAAGGCCAAUCAAACCGGGAGAUAGCUGGUUCUCCCCGAAAGCUAUUUAGGUAGCGCCUCGUGAAUUCAUCUCCGGGGGUAGAGCACUGUUUCGGCAAGGGGGUCAUCCCGACUUACCAACCCGAUGCAAACUGCGAAUACCGGAGAAUGUUAUCACGGGAGACACACGGCGGGUGCUAACGUCCGUCGUGAAGAGGGAAACAACCCAGACCGCCAGCUAAGGUCCCAAAGUCAUGGUUAAGUGGGAAACGAUGUGGGAAGGCCCAGACAGCCAGGAUGUUGGCUUAGAAGCAGCCAUCAUUUAAAGAAAGCGUAAUAGCUCACUGGUCGAGUCGGCCUGCGCGGAAGAUGUAACGGGGCUAAACCAUGCACCGAAGCUGCGGCAGCGACGCUUAUGCGUUGUUGGGUAGGGGAGCGUUCUGUAAGCCUGCGAAGGUGUGCUGUGAGGCAUGCUGGAGGUAUCAGAAGUGCGAAUGCUGACAUAAGUAACGAUAAAGCGGGUGAAAAGCCCGCUCGCCGGAAGACCAAGGGUUCCUGUCCAACGUUAAUCGGGGCAGGGUGAGUCGACCCCUAAGGCGAGGCCGAAAGGCGUAGUCGAUGGGAAACAGGUUAAUAUUCCUGUACUUGGUGUUACUGCGAAGGGGGGACGGAGAAGGCUAUGUUGGCCGGGCGACGGUUGUCCCGGUUUAAGCGUGUAGGCUGGUUUUCCAGGCAAAUCCGGAAAAUCAAGGCUGAGGCGUGAUGACGAGGCACUACGGUGCUGAAGCAACAAAUGCCCUGCUUCCAGGAAAAGCCUCUAAGCAUCAGGUAACAUCAAAUCGUACCCCAAACCGACACAGGUGGUCAGGUAGAGAAUACCAAGGCGCUUGAGAGAACUCGGGUGAAGGAACUAGGCAAAAUGGUGCCGUAACUUCGGGAGAAGGCACGCUGAUAUGUAGGUGAAGUCCCUCGCGGAUGGAGCUGAAAUCAGUCGAAGAUACCAGCUGGCUGCAACUGUUUAUUAAAAACACAGCACUGUGCAAACACGAAAGUGGACGUAUACGGUGUGACGCCUGCCCGGUGCCGGAAGGUUAAUUGAUGGGGNNNNNNNNNNNNNNNNNNNNNNNNNNNNNNNNNNNGAAGUGUGGACGCCAGUCUGCAUGGAGCCGACCUUGAAAUACCACCCUUUAAUGUUUGAUGUUCUAACGUUGACCCGUAAUCCGGGUUGCGGACAGUGUCUGGUGGGUAGUUUGACUGGGGCGGUCUCCUCCUAAAGAGUAACGGAGGAGCACGAAGGUUGGCUAAUCCUGGUCGGACAUCAGGAGGUUAGUGCAAUGGCAUAAGCCAGCUUGACUGCGAGCGUGACGGCGCGAGCAGGUGCGAAAGCAGGUCAUAGUGAUCCGGUGGUUCUGAAUGGAAGGGCCAUCGCUCAACGGAUAAAAGGUACUCCGGGGAUAACAGGCUGAUACCGCCCAAGAGUUCAUAUCGACGGCGGUGUUUGGCACCUCGAUGUCGGCUCAUCACAUCCUGGGGCUGAAGUAGGUCCCAAGGGUAUGGCUGUUCGCCAUUUAAAGUGGUACGCGAGCUGGGUUUAGAACGUCGUGAGACAGUUCGGUCCCUAUCUGCCGUGGGCGCUGGAGAACUGAGGGGGGCUGCUCCUAGUACGAGAGGACCGGAGUGGACGCAUCACUGGUGUUCGGGUUGUCAUGCCAAUGGCACUGCCCGGUAGCUAAAUGCGGAAGAGAUAAGUGCUGAAAGCAUCUAAGCACGAAACUUGCCCCGAGAUGAGUUCUCCCUGACUCCUUGAGAGUCCUGAAGGAACGUUGAAGACGACGACGUUGAUAGGCCGGGUGUGUAAGCGCAGCGAUGCGUUGAGCUAACCGGUACUAAUGAACCGUGAGGCUUAACCUUACAACGCCGAAGCUGUU
rnacentral:rRNA from 1 species